CGGUUAAGUCCGCUAACGAGCGCAACCCUCGCUGUUGUGUUAUAUGUGUCACACGGGACUGCCGGUCUUAAGCCGGAGGAAGGUGGGGAUGAUGUCAAGUCAGCAUGGCCUUUAUAUCCUGGGCUACACACAUGCUACAAUGGCCAACACAAUAGGUUGCUAAGCCGCGAGGUGGCGCCAAUCCAUAAAGUUGGUCUCAGUUCAGAUUGUAGGCUGCAACCCGCCUGCAUGAAGAUGGAGUUGCUAGUAACCGCAGGUCAGCUAUACUGCGGUGAAUACGUUCCCGGGGCUU
rnacentral:rRNA from 1 species